UUAUUAAAGCAGAAGUGAUCCGCUUCUCACCUUACAAAGCUAAGAGCUACUAGGGUUUAAACAAUGAUUUAAAAGCGGACAGCUCAUGCUGCCCGCUUUUAUUAUUUAAU
rfam:Dialister sp. CAG:357 genomic scaffold, scf99